rnacentral:lncRNA from 1 species
AUCGUCCAUCAGGAGAAUCCAAAGAGAGAGUCCUUCUUCAGCGAGUGCCCUGCUGGCUGCUGGUGUUGGCCCUGAGUGUCUGGGUACAGUCCUUCUGCCUUGACCUCCAGAUGAGCCUGGAAAGUCCUGCUGGCUUUCCAUGUGGGCACCACAGACGUGUGAUCUGCAGUGGCUUCUUGAAGCCUGACUCCCAGAUGCAAAUCAUCAUCUUCAUCCAACACUCGGUGGUUAGUUUCAACUCUAGUGCAAGAGCUGGCUGUGCUGAGAUGGGCUGUCCGUCUCCAACAUGCUUCACAAUUAUGGCCUUGCUCAGGCUAACAGGGGUCAUGAAGAUUUGAGAGAGAAAAAAGUCAUCAAGCUGUGGCAUCAAGUACGAAAAUGAUUGUUAAGGAGACAAGUCAAAUAUGUAGAAGAUUUGAGUGAAGACGGAAAGGGCAUUUGGCUUGUGCCUGGAGGACCUGAACUAUGAUACACAGUUGUAUAUUUCAGUUGUGGGUCCUUCCAGUUGUGGCAUGUGGGACGCCGCCUCAGCAUGGCCUGAUGAGCGGCGCUAUGUCUGCGCCCAGGAUCCAAACCUGCGAAACCCUGGGCUGCUGAAGCAGAUCGCGUGAACUCAACCACUCAGCCCUGGCCCCGGCCCCUCUACGCUAUUUAAAUGUCUAUGUUUGACUGCCGAACUAUACGGGAAGCUUUUCGUGACUGGGAAGAAAUCUGUUGGCUGCUUCCUGUAUAAGCAUCUUCCCCACCCUCCUCUCUCUGCCCCCCACCCAGAGUCCAGCGCACGGCAGGCAUGUUCUGAAAGACUGCACCGUCUUUGGAGAGUUGGGAUGGAAGCACAGCUGUCCUUUCCUCGACACGUUCCAUUCAGGUGGCCGUGAUUUUC